rnacentral:tRNA from 1 species
GCCCUCGUAGCUCAGAUGGAUAGAGCGUCGGUUUCCUAAACCGCAGGCCACAGGUUCGACUCCUGUCGAGGGUA